rnacentral:lncRNA from 1 species
CGGCUAGCUUCAGCGCCGUGGGGUCUGACCUGGCUGGAUAUAGUGUACCGGCCCGGCAGGAGGGGCGGCCCGGUCCGGGUUGCGCCUCCUGGAGCCGCCCCCGGGACGUCAGUCCUGGAGGAGGCGAGGAAAACUCUCAGAUCCCCAGGAGUAACAGCGAUUGGCGUGACCUGCUUUUUGGUGAAAUCAGAAAAGGACUUGCCUACCCUCAUGGCAGCAAUUAACUGGAGCUGAUUAACAGCUGCUCCCUUUAGAUAAGUACAUAUGCUUGAGUUUACCGUGAUUCUGUGACUCCCUACGUUUCUAACAGUUGUUACCUCUCUGGUCCUUGUAGGCAUUCAGCUUUGGAACUUUGAUAAAGCAGCUUAAGGGUUUAGGAAGGAUGUUUAAGAUCACUGAUGCAACUAUUCAUCUUUCCUUCCCAUCAGGUGUUUGAAUUGUUGCUGCAUUUCUCCAGCCUCUGCUUUCUUAAACACUCUUGUGAUAGGGAUCUCACUAUCUUCCUAUG